rnacentral:rRNA from 1 species
CCUACGGGAGGCAGCAGUGGGGAAUUUUGGACAAUGGGCGAAAGCCUGAUCCAGCCAUGCCGCGUGCAGGAUGAAGGCCUUCGGGUUGUAAACUGCUUUUGUACGGAACGAAAAGGUCUUUUCUAAUAAAGAGGGCCCAUGACGGUACCGUAAGAAUAAGCACCGGCUAACUACGUGCCAGCAGCCGCGGUAAUACGUAGGGUGCAAGCGUUAAUCGGAAUUACUGGGCGUAAAGCGUGCGCAGGCGGUUAUAUAAGACAGUUGUGAAAUCCCCGGGCUCAACCUGGGAACUGCAUCUGUGACUGUAUAGCUAGAGUACGGUAGAGGGGGAUGGAAUUCCGCGUGUAGCAGUGAAAUGCGUAGAUAUGCGGAGGAACACCGAUGGCGAAGGCAAUCCCCUGGACCUGUACUGACGCUCAUGCACGAAAGCGUGGGGAGCAAACAGGAUUAGAUACCCUGGUAGUCCACGCCCUAAACGAUGUCAACUGGUUGUUGGGUCUUCACUGACUCAGUAACGAAGCUAACGCGUGAAGUUGACCGCCUGGGGAGUCGGCCGCAAGGUUGAAACUCAAANAGAGUUGNGNGNGAGAGNGCGAGACGACGACGAGGGAGGAGG